GGGCUCGAGCAAUCUACCCGCCUCAGCCUCCCAAGGUGCUGGGAUUAUGGAUGUGAGCCACUGCGCUCAGCCUUCACCUUUAUCGUGGCUCUUUUCCAACCGGUCGGGAUAGGGUUGCCCCUACAGCUCUCUGGAGAGAUGGGUGAGGUUUCAUUACAAGAACCUGGACCAAGAACAGCGUGGGAACCCAGAGAUGAGAACAUGGAGGCAGAGCGGUUCAAUGACUUUCCCAGAAUUCUGCAAUCAGUUAAGUAACAGAACCAGGUUCAACGCCCAGCAAGUCAGUUCUGGAGCUGCUGCUCUAUCACUGCAGACAGGAGGAUCCCCAAAGGGUGGUGCAGGUGGCAGUUGAGGGCACUGGCUCUUGACUUAGACCUGAGUUCAAACCCUGCCUAGGUUUCUUACUAGCUGUGUGGCUUCCGUCAAGUGACUGCCCUGGUCUCCUGUUUAACCCCCAUACAAAUAAACAAUGCACCUGUGAUGUCCUG